rnacentral:lncRNA from 1 species
AAUAGGCCUUGUGUUCUGGGGAAAGUAUUGUCUGCUCAUUCAAGCGUGAGCAGGAGUUUAGCUUAGAGCAAAAGCUUCUAAAAUCAAGAAGAGGAAAAAGCUUUUUUCAGAGUCAUCUCAGGAUCCUAUGGAGUUGUGACUAGAUAAGACACUUGGCUGCUCUGAGACUCGAAUGUCUUAAGUAUUGGCAGAUAAGGAAGAGCUCUGACUGCCUGUCCCUAGUCAUGGAAGAGAGUGAUAAGCAGACAUAGAAGUAAGGACCUGCAAGAGGAGCACACCUUCAUACUCCUAUAAGUGAAUUUAUCGAAUAAAAGCAAGAGAUUCAGCAUCACUAAGAGCAGAAAUGUGUGAAAGACUAUGAAAAGGAAUAAAGUGGGAGCUUGCAUCUUUAGUGUCCAAAGUACAAGCCCUAUUGCCUGGAAUUCCUUGUUAUACAAACCUUUAUUCAAUGAGCAUCUGCUAACAGGAUUGGACAACACAAAGUCGAUCCCCAGGAGUCACGUGACAGAAAGAACCAACUCUUGCAAGUUGACCUCUGACUUCCAUAUAGUGGCCGUGCCAUGUGCACUACCAGAGCCACAGUGUCCACUUCUUUGCAUGUGAGCCAGCAACCCACGUGACUUACAUCUCUACAGGGAAAAACGCCUAUACCACUUAAUUCUCAAGAUUGUUGAGAACUACCUCCCCUAUAUUCGUCAAUAUGGGAGACUAUAAGAAGAAUGGCUGUUUUAUUAUAUAUUUGAAUAUUUCCAUAUGAAAUUGUGAAUACCACUUAAUGACAGGUUGUCUCUUCACUGGAAUGAUGAUGCUCUUUGUUACAUAGAGCUUUUUAGUUUCAUGAGGUCCCAUUUAUUUUUGUGUGAGGGUACAGUAUUUCAAUGAAGAUGAUAUGAUUACUUCUAUUUGGAAGCUGAAUCAAUGACAACACAAGUACCUGUAAUAGAAUAUCAUUCCCUUCACCUACUGACGAAAACCUUUGGGGGGUUUUGAUUUGAGCUCAGACCUUACAGCAUUCUAUUAUUUAUGUGAAAGAAAUUUACAAUCCUUGUUCUGACAAACUAGUCCACCCAGAGAACAAGACAGGAUCUGUCACGUUUACCAAUGCCUGUGGUGUAAAUCACACCAGCUGAUGUCAAGCAUAAGCAUCUGCUUCUAGAACUUUCUCCCACUUUCCAUCAGGUCUCACUGGCCUUAUUUUUUAAAUAAAUCUACAUGUCUUUC